GAUGAACGCUGGCGGCGUGCCUAAUACAUGCAAGUCGAGCGAACAGACGAGGAGCUUGCUCCUCUUACGUUAGCUGCGGACGGGUGAGUAACACGUGGAUAACCUACCUAUAAGACUGGGAUAACUUCGGGAAACCGGAGCUAAUACCGGAUAAUAUAUUCAACCGCAUGGUUCAAUAGUGACACCCGGUUUUGCUGUCACUUAUAGAUUGAUCCGCGCCGCCUUAGCUAGCUGGUAAGGUAACGGCUUACCAAGGCAACGAUGCGUAGCCGACCUGAGAGGUGGGUCGGACACACGGGAACUGAGACGCGGUGAAGACUCCUACGGGAGGCAGCAGUAGGGAAUCUUCGGCAAUGGGAGAAAGCCUGACGGAGCAAAGCCGCGUGAGUGAUGAAGGUCUGCGGAGAGGAAAACUCUGUUAUUAGGGAAGAACAAAUGUGUAAGUAACUAUGCACGUCGUGACGGUACCUAAUCAGAAAGCCACGGCUAACUACGUG
rnacentral:rRNA from 1 species